rnacentral:rRNA from 1 species
GACGAACGCUGGCGGCGUGCCUAACACAUGCAAGUCGAGCGAGGUUGCGGAUGGGUGCUUGCACCCUGAAGCUACCUAGCGGCGGACGGGUGAGUAACGCGUGAGUAACCUGCCUUAUACAGGGGGAUAACAACGAGAAAUCGUUGCUAAUACCGCAUAAGACCACGGUAUCGCAUGGUACAGGGGUAAAAGGAGCAAUCCGGUAUAAGAUGGACUCGCGUCCCAUUAGCUAGUUGGUGAGAUAACAGCCCACCAAGGCAACGAUGGGUAGCCGACCUGAGAGGGUGAUCGGCCACACUGGGACUGAGACACGGCCCAGACUCCUACGGGAGGCAGCAGUGGGGAAUAUUGGGCAAUGGGCGAAAGCCUGACCCAGCAACGCCGCGUGAAGGAAGAAGGUCUUCGGAUUGUAAACUUCUGUCGUCAGGGACGAAAAAGGACGGUAACCUGGCAAGAAAGCCCCGGCUAACUACGUG